rnacentral:rRNA from 1 species
GACGAACGCUGGCGGCGUGCUUAACACAUGCAAGUCGAACGGAAAGGCCCAGCUUGCUGGGUACUCGAGUGGCGAACGGGUGAGUAACACGUGGGUGAUCUGCCCUGCACUCUGGGAUAAGCCUGGGAAACUGGGCCUAAUACCGGAUAUGACCGACUGUCGCAUGGUGGUUGGUGGAAAGCUUUUGCGGUGUGGGAUGGGCCCGCGGCCUAUCAGCUUGUUGGUGGGGUAAUGGCCUACCAAGGCGACGACGGGUAGCCGACCUGAGAGGGGGAUCGGCCACACUGGGACUGAGACACGGCCCAGACUCCUACGGGAGGCAGCAGUGGGGAAUAUUGCACAAUGGGCGCAAGCCUGAUGCAGCGACGCCGCGUGAGGGAUGACGGCCUUCGGGUUGUAAACCUCUUUCACCAGGGACGAAGCGUGAGUGACGGUACCUGGAGAAGAAGCACCGGCCAACUACGUGCCAGCCGCCGCCGUAACAC